rnacentral:rRNA from 1 species
UACGUAGGGUGCGGGCGUUGUCCGGAAUUAUUGGGCGUAAAGAGCUCGUAGGCGGUUUGUUGCGUCGGCCGUGAAAACCUGCAGCUUAACUGUGGGCCUGCGGCCGAUACGGGCAGACUUGAGUUCGGUAGGGGAGACUGGAAUUCCUGGUGUAGCGGUGAAAUGCGCAGAUAUCAGGAGGAACACCGGUGGCGAAGGCGGGUCUCUGGGCCGAUACUGACGCUGAGGAGCGAAAGCGUGGGGAGCGAACAGG